rnacentral:rRNA from 1 species
GGUGGGAGACUGUGAAGCGGCCACGCCAGUGGCGGUGGAGUCAACGUUGAAAUACCACUCUGGUCGUACUGGACAUCUAACCUAGGACCGUGAUCCGGUUCAGGGACAGUGCCUGGUGGGUAGUUUAACUGGGGCGGUUGCCUCCUAAAGAGUAACGGAGGCGCCCAAAGGUUCCCUCAGCCUGGUUGGCAAUCAGGUUUUGAGUGUAAGUGCACAAGGGAGCUUGACUGUGAGACAGACAUGUCGAGCAGGGACGAAAGUCGGGACUAGUGAUCCGGCACCUACUUGUGGAUG